UGCCAGCAGCCGCGGUAAUACGUAGGUGGCAAGCGUUGUCCGGAUUUACUGGGCGUAAAGAGCGCGCAGGCGGUCGAGUAAGUCGAAUGUGAAAGCUCCCGGCUCAACUGGGAAGGGUCAUUCGAUACUGUUCGACUAGAAGAUAGGAGAGGGAAGCGGAAUUCCCGGUGUAGUGGUGAAAUGCGUAGAUAUCGGGAGGAACACCAGUGGCGAAGGCGGCUUUCUGGCCUAUUCUUGACGCUGAGGCGCGAAAGCUAGGGGAGCGAACGGGAUUAGAUA
rnacentral:rRNA from 1 species